rnacentral:rRNA from 1 species
AUUGAACGCUGGCGGAAUGCUUUACACAUGCAAGUCGAACGGCAGCACGGACUUCGGUCUGGUGGCGAGUGGCGAACGGGUGAGUAAUGUAUCGGAACGUGCCCAGUCGUGGGGGAUAACGUAGUGAAAAUUACGCUAAUACCGCAUACGAUCUAUGGAUGAAAGCGGGGGAUCGCAAGACCUCGCGCGAUUGGAGCGGCCGAUAUCAGAUUAGGUAGUUGGUGGGGUAAAGGCCCACCAAGCCAACGAUCUGUAGCUGGUCUGAGAGGACGACCAGCCAUACUGGAACUGAGACACGGGCCAGACUCCUACGGGAGGCAGCAUUGGGGAAUUUUGGACAAUGGGCGAAAGCCUGAUCCAGCCAUUCCGCGUGCAGGAUGAAGGCCCUCGGGUUGUAAACUGCUUUUGUACAGAACGAAAAGGUUUCUACUAAUACUAGGAGCUCAUGACGGUACUGUAAGAAUAAGCACCGGCUAACUACGUGCCAGCCGCCGCAGUAA